rnacentral:rRNA from 1 species
UACGGAGGAUCCAAGCGUUAUCCGGAAUUACUGGGCGUAAAGAGUUGCGUAGGCGGCAUAGUAAGUAGGUAGUGAAAUGACGGGGCUCAACCCCGUGUCCAUUACCUAAACUGCUAAGCUAGAGUAUGAGAGAGGUUAUUGGAAUUUCUAGUGUAGGAGUGAAAUCCGUAGAUAUUAGAAGGAACACCGAUGGCGUAGGCAGAUAACUGGCUCAUUACUGACGCUCAGGCACGAAAGCGUGGGGAGCGACCGGG